AAUGAACGCUGGCGGCAGGCCUAACACAUGCAAGUCGAACGCACCGCAAGGUGAGUGGCAGACGGGUGAGUAACGCGUGGGAACCUUCCCUUUGGUUCAGGAUAGCCCCGGGAAACUGGGAUUAAUACUGGAUAAGAUCUACGGAUGAAAGAUUUAUCGCCGAAGGAUGGGCCCGCGUAAGAUUAGCUAGUUGGUGAGGUAAUGGCUCACCAAGGCUUUGAUCUUUAGCUGGUCUGAGGGGAUGAUCAGCCACACUGGAACUGAGACACGGUCCAGACUCCUACGGGAGGCAGCAGUGAGGAAUAUUGGACAAUGGGCGCAAGCCUGAUCCAGCCAUGCCGCGUGAGUGAUGAAGGCCUUAGGGUUGUAAAACUCUUUUAGUGGGGAAAAUAAUGAUGGUACCCACAGAAAAAGCUCCGGCUAACUUCGUGCCAGCCGCCGCAGUAA
rnacentral:rRNA from 1 species